CGAGGAUCAUUAAAGAGACGUUGCCCUUCGGGGUAUACCUCCCACCCUUUGUUUAUUAUACCUUUGUUGCUUUGGCGGGCCCGUCCUCGGACCACCGGCUUCGGCUGGUCAGCGCCCGCCAGAGGACCUAAAACUCUGUUUGUUCAUAUUGUCUGAGUACUAUAUAAUAGUUAAAACUUUCAACAACGGAUCUCUUGGUUCUGGCAUCGAUGAAGAACGCAGCGAAAUGCGAUAAGUAAUGUGAAUUGCAGAAUUCAGUGAAUCAUCGAAUCUUUGAACGCACAUUGCGCCCCCUGGUAUUCCGGGGGGCAUGCCUGUUCGAGCGUCAUUACAACCCUCAAGCUCUGCUUGGUAUUGGGCUCUGCCGGUCCCGGCAGGCCUUAAAAUCAGUGGCGGUGCCAUUCGGCUUCAAGCGUAGUAAUUCUUCUCGCUUUGGAGGCCCGGGUGCGUGCUUGCCAGCAACCCCCAAUUUUCAGGUUGACCUCGGAUCAGGUAGGGAUACCCGCUGAACUUAA
rnacentral:rRNA from 1 species